rnacentral:rRNA from 1 species
UACGAAGGGGGCUAGCGUUGCUCGGAAUCACUGGGCGUAAAGCGCACGUAGGCGGCCUCUUAAGUCGGGGGUGAAAUCCUGGAGCUCAACUCCAGAACUGCCUUCGAUACUGGGAGUCUUGAGUUCGGGAGAGGUGAGUGGAACUGCGAGUGUAGAGGUGAAAUUCGUAGAUAUUCGCAAGAACACCAGUGGCGAAGGCGGCUCACUGGCCCGAAACUGACGCUGAGGCACGACAGCGUGGGGAGCAAACAGG